UACAGAGGUCUCAAGCGUUGUUCGGAUUCAUUGGGCGUAAAGGGAGCGUAGGCGGCGUGGUAAGUCAGAUGUGAAAUCCCGGGGCUCAACCCCGGAACUGCAUCCGAUACUGCCAUGCUAGAGGAUUGGAGAGGUAGCUGGAAUUCCUGGUGUAGCGGUGAAAUGCGCAGAUAUCAGGAGGAACACCGGUGGCGAAGGCGGUUCUCUGGGCAUGUCCUGACGCUGAGGAGCGAAAGUGUGGGGAGCGAACAGG
rnacentral:rRNA from 1 species